UUAGGUUAAGUUAUGAAGGGCGCAUGGUGAAUGCCUUGGUACUAGGAGCCGAUGAAGGACGGGACUAACACCGAUAUGCUUCGGGGAGCGGUAAGUACGCUUUGAUCCGGAGAUUUCCGAAUGGGGCAACCCAAUCAGCUUAGUCGCUGAUUACUUGACUAGUGAAUACAUAGCUAGCAAGAGGUAGACGCAGUGAACUGAAACAUCUUAGUAGCUGCAGGAAGAGAAAGAAAUAUCGAUUCCCUGAGUAGCGGCGAGCGAAAAGGGAAGAGCCCAAACCAACAAGCUUGCUUGUUGGGGUUGUAGGACUGAACAUUAGAGUUACCAAAGUGCGACGUAGUCGCAACAGUUGGGAAGCUGUGCCAUAGAGGGUGAAAGCCCCGUAGACGAAACGUCACACUCUCUGUUCAGGAUCCUGAGUACGGCGGGACACGUGAAACCCCGUCGGAACCCGCGAGGACCAUCUCGCAAGGCUAAAUACUCCCUAGUGACCGAUAGUGAACCAGUACCGUGAGGGAAAGGUG
rnacentral:rRNA from 2 species